CAGAGCCUGGGUCAGUGUGACAAGAAAAG
rnacentral:piRNA from 1 species